rnacentral:rRNA from 1 species
GACGAACGCUGGCGGCGUGCUUAACACAUGCAAGUCGAACGGAAAGGCCUGUCCUUCCUUGUGUUGGACGGGUACUCGAGUGGCGAACGGGUGAGUAACACGUGAGUGAUCUGCCCCCAACUUGGGUAUAAGCCUGGGAAACUGGGUCUAAUUCCCGAUAGGACUGCAGGGUGGUGCCUGUGGUGGAAAACGAUUUUCUAGUGGUUGGGGAUGAGCUCGCGGCCUAUCAGCUUGUUGGUGGGGUAAUGGCCUACCAAGGCGGCGACGGGUAGCCGGCCUGGGAGGGUGGACGGCCACAUUGGGACUGAGACACGGCCCAGACUCCGACGGGAGGAAGCAGUGGGGAAUAUUGCACGAUGGGCGGAAGCCUGAUGCAGCGACGCCGCGUGGGGGAUGACGGCCUUCGGGUUGUAAACUCCUUUCGACCGCGAGGAAGCCGCCUGGUUGGAAGGGUGGUGACGGUAGUGGUAGAAGAAGCACCGGCUAACUACGUG